UACAGAGGUCCCGAGCGUUGUUCGGAUUUAUUGGGCGUAAAGGGUGCGUAGGCGGCGGAGUAAGUUGGGUGUGAAAUCCCGGGGCUUAACCUCGGAAUUGCAUUCAAUACUGCUUCGCUAGAGUACUGGAGAGGAGGCUGGAAUUUACGGUGUAGCAGUGAAAUGCGUAGAUAUCGUAAGGAAGGCCGGUGGCGAAAGCGAGCCUCUGGACAGUUACUGACGCUGAUGCACGAAGGCCAGGGGGAGCAAACGGGG
rnacentral:rRNA from 1 species